rnacentral:rRNA from 1 species
AGAGAGAGACAUGCGCGCAUAUCAAUAAGCGGAGGAAAAGAAACUAACAAGGAUUCCCCUAGUAACGGCGAGUGAAGCGGGAAGAGCUCAAAUUUGAAAUCUUAAAGGGUUUCCCUUUACGAAUUGUAGUUUAAAGAAGUGUUUUCUGUUGAGGUUUUGGUAAAAGUUCUUUGGAAUAGGACAUCAUAGAGGGUGAGAAUCCCGUAUUUGACCUUUACUUUCAACUUUGUGAUACACUUUCAAAGAGUCGGAUUGUUUGGGAAUGCAGUCCAAAAUGGGUGGUAAAUUCCAUCUAAAGCUAAAUAUUGGCGAGAGACCGAUAGCGAACAAGUACCGUGAGGGAAAGAUGAAAAGAACUUUGAAGAGAGAGUUAAACAGUACGUGAAAUUGUCAAAAGGGAAGCGUUUGACACCAGUGUUGUUUUUCUGAAAAUCAAUUAAAGAACUGUUUAUGCUAAGUUGUUUAGACUUUAUCAGCUAACUGUUUAGUUUUGAGCUUUUCUUUAAUGCACUUUUCAGUUAACAAGUCAACAUCAAUUUCUUUUGCUGUAAAAAAGCUUGAGGAAGGUGGCUUGAGAUUCGUCUUAAGUGUUUAUAGCCUCUUGCCUAUGCAGUCGGAGAGAUUGAGGUCUGCAGCGUAGAUCCUUCGGGGCUAAAUGCAUUUGUGCUAAGUUAUAGCAUUUUAUAGACAACUUGUUGACUAUGAUUUGUCUUGUAGCUUACUCGCUUAUGUUAUUCUACCUACGCUUAGGAUGUUGAGCGCAUGUCUCUCUCU